UGUUGCACAUGGCUCUAAAUACAUCUCAGGAACCCCUUCUCAUAUCCGACAGCUUCAGGAGCAAACAAGGAAACAGUAUAAAGCUGAGGGUUUGAAGACAAGCCAUGAAUUUUAUUAUCGGCUUUCCUGAAUUGUGGGAGAACUCCACUGUCAGAAUGAAGACAUAACAACGUAAGCUGUUUACCUGGCCUGACCAUAUCACCUGACUUAAGUUAGCCUGACCUGGAUAUGGAUGUGCAACAUGCAUUUCUCUUGCAACUACAUUCCCACUCCCACAAAGGCAAGUUUGCUGCUGAAAUUCCCAGGAGGACCAAACGCCUCAACUCCGGCCACCUACAUUCCAGCUACAGCUAAUGAGACAACGAGCAGCCAGCACUAUUAUCUACCAUGAUCAGUAAUGCAGUUUUCCGUGAGCUUAUCCUGUGGUUAUAGAUGUAAUUGUCUCCGGAAAGAAUGCCAAACGGCUGGCCCAACAAGAUGGGGCACAUUAGAGCCACAGCAGGAUGUCGGACAGCGAGCCCGCCCCGCCUCUUCCCCCACCUCCCACAACAACACAAUCCCACGAGGAACUGAACUGAUGUCUGAGCAGCCACCAAACAACCAUGGCAUACUUAAUGAAGUCGCUCACUGAGCGCUCGAAAACAGAAGGUGCUGGGAGUGCAUCAUUAGUUCUGUCACAGUGAUAAUUUACACAUCUAUCUUGUCACAUUUUCUAUGCUUCAUACUUUUACAAUAAUAAAUCUAACAUACAUUUGA